AUUGAACGCUGGCGGCAGGCCUAACACAUGCAAGUCGAGCGGAUGAAGGGAGCUUGCUCCUGGAUUCAGCGGCGGACGGGUGAGUAAUGCCUAGGAAUCUGCCUGGUAGUGGGGGAUAACGUCCGGAAACGGGCGCUAAUACCGCAUACGUCCUGAGGGAGAAAGUGGGGGAUCUUCGGACCUCACGCUAUCAGAUGAGCCUAGGUCGGAUUAGCUAGUUGGUGGGGUAAAGGCCUACCAAGGCGACGAUCCGUAACUGGUCUGAGAGGAUGAUCAGUCACACUGGAACUGAGACACGGUCCAGGCUCCUACGGGAGGCGGCAGUGGGGAAUAUUGGACAAUGGGCGAAAGCCUGAUCCAGCCAUGCCGCGUGUGUGAAGAAGGUCUUCGGAUUGUAAAGCACUUUAAGUUGGGAGGAAGGGCAGUAAGUUAAUACCUUGCUGUUUUGACGGUACCAACAGAAUAAGCACCGGCUAACUUCGUG
rnacentral:rRNA from 1 species